UGGUGCAUGUGCAGCAUCUCGUCGUGC
rnacentral:piRNA from 1 species